CGCCGGCCGGCCCGCGCUGCAGCCGGUGACCCGGGAAAAGGCGGCGCCGCUCCAAGAUGUCGCAGACGGCCAUGUCCGAGACCUACGAUUUUUUGUUUAAAUUCUUGGUUAUUGGAAAUGCAGGAACUGGCAAGUCUUGCUUACUUCAUCAGUUUAUUGAAAAAAAAUUCAAAGAUGACUCAAAUCAUACAAUAGGAGUGGAAUUUGGUUCAAAGAUAAUAAAUGUUGGCGGUAAAUACGUAAAGUUACAGAUAUGGGAUACAGCAGGACAAGAGCGAUUCAGGUCUGUGACGAGAAGUUAUUACAGAGGUGCAGCCGGGGCCCUCCUUGUCUAUGACAUUACCAGCCGAGAAACCUACAAUGCGCUUACUAAUUGGUUAACAGAUGCCAGAAUGCUAGCAAGUCAAAACAUUGUGAUCAUCCUCUGUGGAAACAAGAAGGAUCUGGAUGCAGAUCGUGAAGUUACUUUCUUAGAAGCCUCCAGAUUUGCUCAGGAAAAUGAGCUGAUGUUUCUGGAAACGAGUGCACUAACAGGAGAAAAUGUAGAAGAGGCCUUUGUGCAGUGCGCGAGAAAAAUACUUAACAAAAUUGAGUCAGGUGAGCUGGAUCCAGAAAGAAUGGGCUCAGGUAUCCAGUAUGGAGAUGCUGCCUUGAGACAGCUCCGGUCCCCGCGUCGAGCACAGGCCCAGAGUGCCCAAGAAUGUGGUUGUUAAAGAUCAGCACGGGGCAAACGAGGUGUACAUACAGUGGUAUUUGGGACACAAUUGUUGGAGCUUGAAGAACCUGAAGCUUUUUUACCACCAUCUUUAUCUACUCUAUACAAAAGUAGAUCCUUGUGGGAAAAAAAAUAAUUGGGAUAUUAUGGAAGCUAGUAGUCAUGGCACAGCAAACUGUAUAAUAAAUCUAACUCAAUGGACAAUACCAUUAAAUGUACACAUUUAACUUUACAUUGUCCAGCUCUCGCUUGCUUUCAGAGUAUCUUCAUCCAGCAUUUAAGUGAAAAUGAGAACAUCACAAUUUGGGAAUCUGUAAUGGUUUUGUAAGGAGCCCUGACUGCUAACCAAAAGGUCAGUGUUUCAAACCCACCAGCUGCUCCUUGGGAAAAAGAUGUAGCAAUCUGCUUCCAUAAAGAUUACAGCCUUGGAAACCCUAUGGGGCAGUUCUGCUCUGUCCUAUAGGGUCACUAUGAGUUGGAAUCUACUCGAUGGCAACUUUUUUUUGUUUGUUUUAAUGGUUUUGUUGAAAACGUUACUUGUGGCCUGUUGAAAUUUUUGUGAGUUGUUGAAAUCUUUACAAACAUUGAUUCCUAGCUAAUUAAUACUAUUAUUCGGAGUAAAGAACCUGAUGGUAAAAUUAGAAACCUAGAUGGUGUGUAAUCCAUACUGUGACACAGUAAAUGGUUCUUCAUUUUCUGUCAUUUUUGCCCUCUUUUGGAAACCCUGGUGGCAUAGUGGUUAAGUGCUAUGGCUGCUAACCAAAAGGGUGGCAGUUCGGAUCCACCAGGCGCUCCUUGGAAACUAUGGUGCAGUUCUGCUCUGUCCUAUAGGGUCGCUAUGAGUCGGAAUCAACUCGAUGGCACCGGAUUUGGUUUUGUUUGUUUUGCCCUCUAUUUGGAGGAGAGAAUUGGAGGGGGUUAAACACCUGUGAUUUUUAAUAUUUUUGUACCAGUUGUGAGUCUCUUUACCAAUCUGUCCAUGUACAUGUAAUCUGAGCUUGUCCCAGUUGUUACUUGUUAUUUCCUAAUUGUAUUAACUUCCCUAAAAUUGUUUUAGGAAUUUAUCUGAGAACACUAGACUUACCAGUUUCAGUAACACGAAAGUAAGGCAGAGCCAUCGCUUGCUAAGGCUAGAUAAUACUGCGUACUGGUAGAAAGUCAUAUGAUUAGGGAAUCUUUUUUUUUUUUAAUAGUAUUUAUGUAGUUUUACAUUUUGUAUUAUGGAAAUUUUCAAACAUACACAGAAAAUAGUAGUACAAUGAACCA